CAGAAAGCACCACCACACUGUGAGGCUCCUGCCCUCAAGCCUGGGUCAGCCCUGUAAGGCUCUGUCAGGAUCUAGCCCUGUAGCCCUUAUAAGUGGGUCAGCCACACUUAACUGAUUGAGGCCAGCUGACACCUAUCCCCUCCCUCUGGUUCUGGGGCUGCUCUGAAGGGACUUCUCCAGCACCUGAACCUGGCUGCACAACCCCCUAGUCUCCAGUCUCUGAGCAGCUCCUGUUCUGGCAAUGUCUUUGGCUUCCCUGGUUCCUGACCCUGUUUUGCCUUGUUCCUGGCUUUUGGCUUUGGAUUUCCCUGUGACUUUCCUGGCUCCUGAUGCUAGUUUGGUUUUGUUCUUGGAUCUUGCCCUGUGGAUUGUCCCUUGGAUUUGACAGGCCAGCCUGGUGGACCGUGCCCCAAACAACCCCUCCUACCCGUGGAAUUACCGCUGUGAUUGCAAAUAGGACUGCCAGUGGAGUAAAUGAAGAUCUGUCUCGGGAUGUAGUCCAUGCUAUGAAAAAAUGAGAUAACCUCUCACUAGCCAGUGCCAUGAACAGGCAAUUAUUGCUGUUGCAAACUUGAAGAGCAUCCUCUUUAAGCAUGUAGCUUUUUUAGUGGGUGACACAGGUUCAGCCAGAAUGUAGCUGGCAUUUCCGGAAGAUUGAUCCAUACUGUCUCAGCAUCCUAGUCUGGAAAGCAUCCCAUUUAAGGACAAAACUUCAAGAUAUGUUAAUUUUCAGAUGAACUCAAGUUCCUAAAAUGAAAUGCUCUUCUGAAAAAGGGGCUGCCGCUCUCUUGAAACAGGAGAGAGAAGCUUCUAUGUGACUUGUUUGUUUGCCUUUGGAGUCAGCCAUUGGUAACAGUCUCCUUCUCAGGAAGGCUUUAAAAUCAACUUGGAGGUAAGAGCUCAUUUGCCAAUUGGUAGGAGUGCUUGCAAAAUCCUAAGGUAAGACAAUCAGCCUGCUUGAAGUCUGGCUAAGUGUUUCUGCAGAGCACAUGUCUCCCCUGCCUGCAUGUUUCGUGUGUCACUUUCUGAUUUAUCUGUGCUUGGAAAGAAAUAAAAGUUGUAUAAAUAUUU